CAAAAGUACUUCAUUGGCUGUGAUAACACAGUGUGCAGCUAAAGGAACAGCAGGCCAGGCAGCAUCAGAGGAGUAUGAAAGUUGAUGUUCCAGAUCGGGACCCUUCUUUGGGAAGUCAUGAAGUGUGGAAGGUAUCAAUGUUUGCUUGGAUCAGAAAAUGGACCACUAGAGAGUCUUAGCAAGAAGGAGCACGUGUCUUACAC